CAGCAAAUGAUGUUAACUGGAUCCGAUGGACUAUACUGAGUUUGUUCAAUUCAAUCCUGCACUG